AAUACAUUUUAUUUCACCACAUUAUAGGUCGUAUGUUUAUUUACAAGUGUGAGAAGUUCCAUAAAAAAUACAUUGUAGAAAAAUUUCUAUUCACGAAAAUAUUAUGAAAAUUAUGAUUUUCCCAUAAACUCCAAUUAUGAAAAAUUGCAUGAGAUUCAAAUUGUUCAUAUCAGUCCAGCAAAAAUCUCGCGACCGUACCCGUUUUAUUUGUUUAAUUUUCUAGGUAGAUUCUGAACUUCUUGUUUUGAAAAAUCGGAGAUUAAUCAAAUUCUACAUAGUACAAUCCCAUAACAUGGUUAUAUCCGUUUGAUAUAUGUAUUUCUUUGUUUUUCAGGUAUUGAAAUAAUUUGUGAUCAGAAUUGAACAUUUGGAAUGCUUUAAAGCUUUUGAAGUGUUUCUUUUUUUGAAAGACGGAGAACAACAAUCAAUAUGCAGGACAUCUUUCUCAAUUGGCUAUAAGAAAAGUUUACUACAGUCUGUUUCACCUGGCAAUAAUUUGCUAUUUCUCAUAAUUGAAAAUAUCGCGAGGAAGCGGUUGUGGUUUGGAGAUGUAGAGCAACAAUCAAUAUGGACGACAGCUUUCGCCAAUAUUAUCGGACAGGUUAGAAAAAAAAAGUUCUGUGAAGAAGUGGUUGUGCUUUUGAAAAAAGGGUAUAUUUGUUGAGUAUACAUUAAAAUAUUCAAACUUGAUUUAACUUUCAACACCAAUUGGAAUAUAUGUAGAUAUAAUUAAUGAGUAUAAUUAAAGCAAUAUUAAAUCUGGAAUGCACGUCGAUAUGAUAAAGGAAUAUAGUUAUAUCUGAUUGGAUUUAAUUUAUCAAGACAAUUUGAAAUUUACAUAUAGCAAUGGAAUGUUAUUAUUUGUGAGUUUGUUUCAUUUUAAUUAAUAUUUACUCAAACAGAAUUAAAUUGUUGACACUAUCUUAAAUAUCAUUAGAUAAAGAGAAGGGAUAUAAUUAGUGUUGAAUAUGCUUUGCGAUUGGAAUUAUUGUUUAACAAUUUCAAAGAUACACAGGCUUAGUUAGGAAUGAAAUAAUUAAUGAGAUUCAAAUCGGAUUUAAUUUGCACUUCAAUCUGAAGUAUAUGUAUAUGCAGAAAUGGAAUAUAAUAUGUGGUAAGCAUGUUUCAUUCUAAUUAUCAAUGCGUAGUUUUAUUACUAACAUUUUAACGGAUUUAUGUUCAAUACAGUUUUGAACUCACAAAGACACAGUGAAGAAAUAUUAUUAUUGGUUUUUGAAUAAUUUCUACUAGAAUGGAACCUUGGAAAGCUUUAAAGCUAUUGAUGUGUUUAUUUUUCUCAACGGUGGAGAAAAAUGAUCGAUAUGCACGGAUUCUUUCUCAAACAAUCUUUUUCACCUGCCAAUUAUUUGCUAUUUAUCAGAAUUGGAAAUCUUGCAAGGAAGUGGUUGUGGUAUAUGUAUGACAUUUUACAUGCUUAUACUAUAUACUCACACAGGAUUGAAUAUUCAAUACAAUUAGGUAUAUACAUAUAUAAAAGAAGUAUUAUUAUUUAUUAGUGGAUUCUAUUAUGAUAACUAAUAUGUAUUCAAAUUGAAUAUAAUUUUUCAACGGAAUUUGAAAUGAAUGAAUGAAUGAAUGAGUUGGGUUUUACGGCGAAUCGACACAAAAAGGUCAUAUAUCGCCGAGAAAAUGUUAAAUGGAUUACG